rnacentral:lncRNA from 1 species
UUUGUUCCUCUGUUAUUUUUCCCUUCCUUUCCUUCAACGUGAAAGUAGAGGCGGAUCCAGGAUUUGAUGGUUGCGGGUGCCACUGUAUUUAAUGUAAACUUAUCAGUAGUCAAAGAGGUUAAAUUUAUUAGGUAUACAUGUAUUUGGCCAGUUCGCUAUAUUUUAAAUUAAUUUGGUUCGGUUCGGUUCGAUCCAUUUUGAGUUAAUUUGGUUUGCUUUACAAGAUCUUUUGGUGUAUAAAUAAACACAUGAUAAUUAAACUGAAUAUAUUUUAUCCUUUCAAGGAAAAAAUACUAUUAACUACAUAAAAAAGAAAAAUGAUUAAAAACAUAUUCAAAUUAAAAAAAUUGAGAGCUAAACCGAGAAAACAUAGGCAAAUAUACUUUUAUAAUCUAAAGAACUACUAAUAAAAAUGAGAUUGUAUAUAGGGAAAAUAUCAUCACGAAGAUGAAAGAAAUUAAGAAAAAGAGGAGAAAAGAAAACAAUCCGGAAAGAAGGAACACAAAAAGUACUCACAACAUAAGUUAAAGUAGGAUUGAUCCUGGGCAUUGGGCUUGGGAAGGAUUACCUUAACCACGGCACCUACAGCCAUUUUGACACUUUGUGUGCCACAAAUUAUUUAUAUACUUUUUCUACAUGAAAUACUAGUGAAAUACCACUGAGUACAUGAAAUUCUAUCCGAGCGACCGGUGGCGUACCACCCCAUCACCUCUACAUAUAUCUGCCCCUGCGUGAAAGUAGAGUAUAUAUAUGAUAAGUUGAUAGAAGUUAUAAAUGUCAACUUUUAUAGCUUAUAAAAGCUAUUUUGAACCCAUUGCAAUGUCUGACCCAAUUGUCAAAAGCCAACGUUAGAAACUAUGAAUAAUUAGCUAUUCAAGAGUAAUAUCAAAUUUCAGUUACAAAAUCAUUAUUAUGUUUGAAAAUUUAUUCAAAUUGUAAUCAAAUUAAUUACAUAAUGAAGACACAUUAACAUAAUAUUAAAAGAAUGAACCUAGACAUCAAUUUGAAUAUUUCUUUUUGAGUUAUCAAAAUUAUUUUUCUAACAGUAACAAUAGCAUGAUAAGAUAAUAAAAUAACCGACGAGAAAGAAAUCACAUACAGUAAAAGCAAUCAGCGGAUAAGAAAAUAUGAAAAAUACGAGGCUAAUACUAAUACUAUCAGCAUGUUAAAUAGACACGCACACCUACCAAUAUAAUGUAAAAACAUACAGGAAAAUCCAAACAUUUUGAUUUCUUUUGGCACCUCAAUACCUAGACUACAUAUAUGACGAAGCUUUAAUUUUCUAUGACAAUUACAUCAAGAAUUAUUUGUAUCACAAAUAUAUUUCCAAAGAAAGGCAACUCUAUAAAACAGGCAAAGGAACACUCCGGCCAAUAAAUAUAAAUGUGAUUUUUGCCAUCUGGUACAUCGUAAUAGGCAUGGCAGCCAAUAAUUAGCUUGGUUCACCAAUUAGAAGGAGACACACAUAAAGACGUAGAAUUAGGGCAAUUAGACGUAUUUUUUAAUUGAGAUAAGCUUUAACUCAAACAAUUUUAUGAAGAGAUAAGGGAACAAACAUUUACUUUGAUAGAAAAUGAACGAUAUAUAAACUGAUGAAGAUUGUACAAGCAUCAACAUCAAAUUUCAAUAUUUGAAGGCUCUAUAAUUGGAUCUCAUGUCCUUAUUCUUUUAAUUUCCUUUGUUUUCUUUUUGGCCAUUCUCUUGGCUGAAAAGGGAAAACGAA